GUUAGCCCGCCUGUCAGACUGCUCGCCGUGGGCGUGGCCAGGCGGCUGCCGAAGUGUUGUGAUUGCGGUGUGACUGGCUCCAGUCCUGUCACAGCAGCGGUGAGGGGCGCCUUUUCGCUGCGCUGGCGCUCUGGGAAUACUAAAGCUUUCAGCGAAACAAACUAGCAGAAAAACCCAAGAAACAAUUUCCUAUUCGUGUCUUUUGCUGCUUCUUCUCUGCGACGUUAACAGUACGACGUGUUUUGUUGUUUGACAGUGGAAGUACGACGCAAACAACAAGACUCACUGACGGCUGCUGUUGAAGUCUGCUAUACUUACCUGCCGCUCGGCGGAUCGCUGCAGUCAGCAGACUGUUUGAAAGAGAAGGCCUGGGGAAAGUUAAUGAGAAGAUUCGAUCAGCUGGCACCCCCCCACACCUUCCUCAACUCCAUCCCCCUAUCCCAGCCAUUGUCUUCCUCCAGCGUCAGCCUUGACUCCUUCACAUUGUUGGACAGCGGAAGUUUAUUGAAGACUUCUUAG
rnacentral:lncRNA from 1 species